rnacentral:rRNA from 2 species
GAGCGGCGAACGGGUGAGUAACACGUGAGUNACCUGCCCUCAACUUCGGGAUAAGCCUGGGAAACUGGGUCUAAUACCGGGUAGGACCUUCCCUGGCAUCGGGGAUGGUGGAAAGUUUUUCGGUUGGGGAUGGACUCGCGGCCUAUCAGCUUGUUGGUGGGGUAGUGGCCUACCAAGGCGACGACGGGUAGCCGGCCUGAGAGGGCGACCGGCCACACUGGGACUGAGACACGGCCCAGACUCCUACGGGAGGCAGCAGUGGGGAAUAUUGCGCAAUGGGCGAAAGCCUGACGCAGCGACGCCGCGUGGGGGAUGACGGCCUUCGGGUUGUAAACCUCUUUCAGCAGGGACGAAGUUGACGUGUACCUGUAGAAGAAGCGCCGGCUAACUACGUGCCAGCAGCCGCGGUAAUACGUAGGGCGCAAGCGUUGUCCGGAAUUAUUGGGCGUAAAGAGCUCGUAGGUGGCUUGUCACGUCUGCCGUGAAAGCCCGCAGCUUAACUGCGGGUCUGCGGUGGAUACGGGCUGGCUAGAGGUAGGUAGGGGCAAGCGGAAUUCCU